UCCUCUUUGGCUCUGGGAAUUUCUCCUCCCACGUGGAGGCCCCCACAGCAGUGGACACCACCCAGCCAGGCCCACCUGACCGGUCAGGCUCAAACCCUCUGGUACCCGCCCCACCCAUAGGACCAGGUGUAAACCAGGCAGCGACACCCCAGACGUGUGGUCUUGGUCAGCUCCCCUGGGCUCCUCUCCCUCCAGCUGGCCCUUCUCUGCCCAGGAAACAGUUUUCUGAAGAGUUCUCCGUUCUCGAGCCUUCCAGCUGCGUGGGAGAGAGUUGACCCCAAGGCUGGGACCACAAGAGGCCAGGGAGGGUGGGCCUGGGAUCUGCAGCUCACGGGCUGUGUGACUGUGGGCACGAGAUUUCAUUUCCUGAUUCAUAAAGGUGGGGACCGAUCAAAGCUACUCCUUGGACCUUUGUGAAGAUUAAAUGAGUUCAACACGGAGCAUUCUUGACCCAUGGGCCAUCCCCAGAUGAGGCUGCAGCAUUGCCCCGUGUGCUCUCAGCUGGUGCCAGUGUUGUCUGGAACUGUCUGGACCUACCUGGAAACUGAGUAUUUCUCUGAAGAAGUCUGCAGCCCUUUGGCAGCGUGGCUGCAGAUGGAAGGAAGGAAACAGUUCGCCCUGGAGAAUGGCUAGGCAGCACCUCUGAGCCGAGCAUCCCACCCGCUCUGACUGGCCCACAAUCGUGGGGCCAGUGGUAUCUCAGAGCCCUUCUGUAAGGAGGUCUGGUCCCCCGGCAUUCAGGGGUUCUGAGCUGCUCAGUUCUGGGAUAUGGGGAAAAGCCAGGAUUCUCCACCAUGCUGGCUGACGCCAUUUCUCUGUUCACCAGACCUACAGGGUUUUGUCACUUACAGUGAUUGCCAUGGUCUGAAUGCUUGUGUCCUCCUCGAAAGAGCCUUCCAAGAUGCGGUGCCCUCCAUCAGCAUAUUGCCACGCCUUUCUCUCCCAGGAUGCAUUGCUGGGAUGGAUGAACAGGGCCAUGCGAUAAAUCCUCUAACGUUGCCACGUCUGUGCUUUUGCCUCCUUUCCUCUCCGUUGUAUGGAGGAAGUUCUGACAGCUCACUUCAUUUCACGUGGUGUGCAAGCUUCUGUCAAACAACGGAACAAACUAUGAGAACCACUUCCAGCCACUGCUUCUGCACACUUCUCUGCUAAGUGAGUCUCUGCUGUGUGAGUCUCAUUGGUAAAACUACCCUGAUCUAACAUUCUGUUACCUCCUUUGUGGUCCAACACUCCAAGAGUCCACGGCCUCAGACGCCCCUGGGUUUCUGCUGAUGUAAAUUGGCAAAAACUUGCAUUCAGUGUGUAUGUGGCUCCUCUUGGGUCUCACUGUGUGUUUAUCCCUCUGCACCCAACUCUAGUCAUGGCUCUGGGAAUAAUGAGGGUCGGUGGAGGUGGAUCUCAAGGGAGAUCUGUCAUCUUGCAAGGCUGUUUCCUCAAGUGAAGCCAUCACAGAUCUUUGGGCACAGUUUUACUCACCUCAGACUCUAAGGAAGAGUCACUUCUGCUUACAGGGAGACUCAGGAAGGUCUAAUGUUCAGGGGACUCAGAGUCAGAGAAAUCCACCCUCUCCAGUUCUCGAGGUCUCAUUCUUUCCAAAUAAAUGCCUUAACUUUGACUUAAGAGAUUUAGUAAGACAUUUAAUUAUUCUUUAGUUGUAAUUCAUUAGCCUGCAAGAUCAAAUUUGUACUCUGCAUUUAAAAAAAAAAGUUGACUCUACAGCUACAAGAACUAAAAUGGUUUUUUUAGGACAGCUAUAGAAGGGCUCUGGUUCUCUGUCUAUACCUUCAGCUGAGCACUUAAGGCCACAGCUUGUCAUUUUCUUUGUCAGUUCCCCAGUGCAAUAAGCAGCAGCCACCCCAUGCCACAUCCUUGUAUGCAUGGUUUCCAUCCACAUCCUAAUGUCCUAUUGCAAGAGCCCCCUGGUGUCUGAAACCCAGGCUUGUGAUGGGCACUGCAUCGCAGAGACCUCAAGGUAAUGAUUUUACCAGUGACAAUGUUUAUAGAUUAUCUGCAUCCUGCUUCCCACUCCUCACGUGGUCCUCACUGACAUCAGACAAAACCUGGUCUGUCCAAUUACUAACUCCAGAUUCCCAUCUUCAAGGUUCUGCCUUCCUGGAAACACUGCUGGUACCAGGAAUGGUUGGUCGGGAACACUAAAGUCACUCUAGGUAUUUUGGGUAGAAGGAGAUUCAUUGCAGGGAACUCUAGGCUUACAGAAAUGUUGAGAACUUUGGGGACUGAAGGUUAUUUCAGGAGAUCUGGAAGUGCAGGGAUAGAAGGGUAGCAUCCAUUGCCCCCUGAUAACUGUACCACUGACAUGGCUAGAAACCACCCCAGUGAUCCCAGCUGCUUGUAGCACCUCAGGGUGAUUCUCAAACUGACUCCAGAAGCCAAGGUACACUGCUGCCAAUGACUGCAGGGGCCUCUGCAAAACGGACGUUGAUGAAUGAAACAAAGUGUGAUCUACCCAUAGCAGGGAAUGUUAUUCAUCCUUAAAAAGGAAGGAAAUCCUGCAGCUCACGCCUGUC
rnacentral:lncRNA from 1 species